rnacentral:rRNA from 1 species
UACGAAGGGAGCUAGCGUUGUUCGGAAUCACUGGGCGUAAAGCGCACGUAGGCGGAUUUGUCAGUCAGGGGUGAAAUCCCGGGCUCAACCUCGGAACUGCCUUUGAUACAGCAAGUCUUGAGUUCGAGAGAGGUGGGUGGAAGUUCCUAGUGUAGAGGUGAAUUCGAUAGAUAUUAGGAAGAACACCGGUGGCGAAGGCGGCUCACUGGCCGGUACUGACGCUGAGGUGCGAAGCGUGGGAGCAACAGG